rnacentral:rRNA from 1 species
GGAAACAGGUGCUAAUACCGGAUAAUAAAGCGGAUCGCAUGAUCAGCUUUUGAAAGGCGGCGUAAGCUGUCGCUAAGGGAUGGCCCCGCGGUGCAUUAGCUAGUUGGUAAGGUAACGGCUUACCAAGGCGACGAUGCAUAGCCGAGUUGAGAGACUGAUCGGCCACAUUGGGACUGAGACACGGCCCAAACCCCUACGGGAGGCAGCAGUAGGGAAUCUUCCACAAUGGACGCAAGUCUGAUGGAGCAACGCCGCGUGAGUGAAGAAGGUUUUCGGAUCGUAAAGCUCUGUUGUUGGUGAAGAAGGAUAGAGGUAGUAACUGGCCUUUAUUUGACGGUAAUCAACCAGAAAGUCACGGCCAACUACGUGCCAGCAGCCGCGGUAAUACG